AUGGCUUAUUUCAGGUCCCGUGUAGGUAUAUUUUUGUCAUAAUUUAUUCCACCUGUGUCUGUCAGUUCCUUUCCCCUUGCCGCCUCCCGUGACAUUUUGGCUCAUGUUUCUUCAUAAGCUCUGAGCCAGUUAUUAAUAACAGCCCAGUGACUUUGUGAUCCACAAGGAACAUAUGGUGUUUUUCACAAGAGAGAGCUCAUUCUCUCGACUUUGGACUUCACUUACAGAACCCUCAAAAUUUCAGGUAUUAUAGAGGCAACACCCUCCUGAAAGGACGUGAGAAACACAAACAGCCAAGGGGGAAGUCACCCGUAGUCCUUCCAUUCAAACUUAUCUCACCACCAUUGACAUUUGUGUGUACUCUUCUGUUUUACAAAAACGUUGCAAUUCUGGAGUCUAAUGUAUGGACAGAAGAAUGCAUACAAUUUCUAUGUACAGUUUAACAGGAGCCAAGGUUGCUAAGAGACCACCUGUGCCGCAUGCACUUUGGUCUCCAACAGCAGACCCAGCAAAGACCGAGGAGCUGUCACCUCCCACCACCUGGGAUUCAUUCAGGCAACAGGAGUAUUCUGAAUAUGACUGGCAAAAACUGGAUAUUAAUUUCUACGACCACUCCCCAAAGUUUAGAAGAUGAAAUUGUGGGAAGACUUCUAAAAAUCUUGUUUGUUUUAUUUGUUGACUUAAUGUCUAUUGUGUAUGUUGUUAUAACUUCUUAGAAAGCAUUUUUUACUUUCCAUAUACAUUUCAAAUUGAAUCCCAGUGAAUAAAAAUGUGUAUUUUAAUUUGCUGAGUGAUGUUAAUUUGAUAUUAUAAAUUUACUGUAACAAGGCAUUAUAGUAGAAAUAAUCUUGUAUAUUACUUAGCACUUUAUGGUUUAUAUUUAAUGUUCAAGGAUCUACACUACUGAAUCACAAAAUUUAUUUUUUAAAACAUUACUAUUUAAUAUACUGACUAAAAUUUGCAGGUGAAAUUAUGAGUGAAAUUGAUUUUUA
rnacentral:lncRNA from 1 species